UAGGGAAUCUUCCGCAAUGGGCGAAAGCCUGACGGAGCAACGCCGCGUGAGUGAUGAAGGUCUUCGGAUCGUAAAACUCUGUUAUUAGGGAAGAACAAAUGUGUAAGUAACUAUGCACGUCUUGACGGUACCUAAUCAGAAAGCCACGGCUAACUACGUGCCAGCAGCCGCGGUAAUACGUAGGUGGCAAGCGUUAUCCGGAAUUAUUGGGCGUAAAGCGCGCGUAGGCGGUUUUUUAAGUCUGAUGUGAAAGCCCACGGCUCAACCGUGGAGGGUCAUUGGAAACUGGAAAACUUGAGUGCAGAAGAGGAAAGUGGAAUUCCAUGUGUAGCAGUGAAAUGCGCAGAGAUAUGGAGGGACACCAGUGGCGAAGGCGACUUUCUGGUCUGUAACUGACGCUGAUGUGCGAAAGCGUGGGGAUCAAACAGG
rnacentral:rRNA from 1 species